AAUGCCUAUAAACGAAGUUUUAUAGAAUUUCACGAGACAGCUUGUGAUAUCAUGCUCAAAACAUCGUUCUUAAGUACCUUUAUACAAGAAUCAUAUUAUCGCAUGCCUGAAGCGACACGUCCCAUGAAAACCGUUGCUUGUCCGCUGCAGCCUGGUAAUUAUUCAUUUCCAGACAUGAACUUAAACUUAUUAUUGUUUCCG
rnacentral:misc_RNA from 1 species